rfam:Gorilla gorilla gorilla genomic chromosome, chr11, whole genome shotgun sequence
GGGGGUGUAGCUCAGUGGUAGAGCGGAUGCUUUGCAUGUAUGAGGCUUUGGGUUCGAUCCCCAGCACCUCCA